AUUGAACGCUGGCGGCAGGACUAACACAUGCAAGUCGCGCGGAGCGGCGGACGGGUGAGUAAUGCCUAGGAAUCUGCCUGGUAGUGGGGGAAAACGUCCGGAAACGGGCGCUAAUACCGCAUACUAUCACAUGAGCCUCGUUCGGAUUAGCUAGUUGGUGGGGUAAAGGCCUAGCAAGGAGACGAUACGUAACUGGUCUGAGAGGAUGAUCAGUCAUACUGGAAAUGAGAACCGGUCCAGACUCCCACGGGAGGGAGCAGUGGGGAAUAUGAGACAAUGGGCGAAAGCCUGAUCCAGCCAUGCCGCGUGUGUGAAGAUGGUCUUCGGAUUGUAAAGCACUUGAAGUUGGGAGGCGUUACCAACAGAAGAAGCACCGACUAAGUUCGGGCCAGCAGCCGCGGUAAUUC
rnacentral:rRNA from 1 species